rnacentral:rRNA from 1 species
UACGGAGGGUGCAAGCGUUAAUCGGAAUUACUGGGCGUAAAGCGUGCGCAGGCGGUUUGUUAAGUCUGCUGUGAAAUCCCCGAGCUCAACUUGGGAAUUGCAGUGGAUACUGGCAAGCUGGAGUACGGUAGAGGAAGGUGGAAUUCCCGGUGUAGCAGUGAAAUGCGUAGAGAUCGGGAGGAACACCAGUGGCGAAAGCGGCUCACUGGACCAUAACUGACGCUGAUGCACGAAAGCUGGGGGAGCAAACAGG